rnacentral:rRNA from 1 species
UACGUAGGGGGCGAGCGUUGUCCGGAGUGACUGGGCGUAAAGGGUACGUAGGCGGUGCGGCAAGUUCCCCCUGACAGUUCUCGGCUUAACCGAGGAAGGCGUGGGAAAACUGCGGCACUUGAGACAGCGAGAGGGACACGGAAUUCCGGGUGGAGUGGUGAAAUGCGUAGAGAUCCGGAAGAACACCAGUGGCGAAGGCGGCCCGCUGGGCAGUGGCUGACGCUGAGGCGCGACAGCGUGGGGAGCAAACAGG